CACACACACACACACACACACACACACACACACUACUUUACUUCUUACUCCUCAGGUCUACCAGCACCUCAGUCAGGAGGAGAGGUUAGGACACAGACACAUAAACACACAGUUGGCAGAUGCUUUUUCAACCAUUCAGGAUGAAUUAGCAUUUAAGUGAAGUGCUCUCCAAAGCACUUCUCUUCAAGCUAGUGGUGAUUGUGUUUAUGAGUGGUCACAUGUGGACGUACUAUUGUGGCCUCCACCAUGGGCAGACUGGCCAUGUGGCAUACCGGGCAUUUUCCCGGUGGGCCGACGCACCUUUUGGGCCGAUAGAAUAGGCUAUAUAUAUAAUUUAAUCAUUUUGGCCAACGAUCUGCCCAAAGGAAGGACAAUCAGCGGCCCACUGGUUACAUUUCCAUAUGUCGACUGAUCCAAUAACAGCUCACGUCAGGCCCUCCCCUCGCAUUUUGGCCCAGAGCCAGGAUUUUGUGAGCCAUCAGAAGUUAAUCGAAGUUGCCUACACGAAAUUGCGGCGGAUGCCGGUAGUGACAAUAGUGCAAAAG